GUGGCUCAGUGGGUAAGAGCACUUGUUCUAUAAGCAUGAGACCUGAGUUCAGAUCCCAGC
rnacentral:tRNA from 1 species